GGAGGUAGAUGAUGAAAGCCCUUCUCACCUCCUGAUCCAAAGGCGGUGGACUUGGCACUGAAUGAGGUAUACAUUUUUGGAUAUGUCCAAUCCAGUGAAGGAAUUCAUUUUGCUUGACUAUGUAUCUUUGUUCCAAGGGUUUUCCUUUUCUUUUCUAAUGAGAGAGAUGCUUGUCAGAAAAUGUAAUUUCAAAAAGGAAGAGGGAGUUGGAACUGAUGACCUCGAAGGCCUCUUCCAGUUCCCAAUCCAGUGAAUCCAACCUGGGCCAGCUGCUUUAGCUCUGAGCCUCAGUGACCGCCUAUGUCGAAUGGGGAAUGAUGAUUCUAACACUUAGCUAGGGUAGGUUGCUGUGGGUGGUCAAGUGACAUCAUUCAUGCCAUGAUGGAUCCUACUCAUGAUAGCCCCUGGCAUUAUCCCCAUCGCCAUGCCUCUUCCUUCCUGGUUCCCAUGGGGCUAGGGCCCAGGCCCUACUCCUUCCUACCCAAGCAGUUGUCAGCAGGAACUCGGGCUUUCAGCAACUGAUCAGCUCAGACUACCAGGGGACUGUGACAUAGAGCCUGCCUCUCUCUGCUUCCUAGUACUGAUCCGCCAAAUCCAGGAGGUCACAAGAGGAUUCUCCUCUGUCCUCACAGACGACCAUCGAUUUUGAGUCGGAGAGGGUCUUCGAGGCCAGGCCGUUUAUUCCAAUGGACUCCUUGGAGGGUGAGAGACCUGAGGCCCAGAGAAAAGCAACUGGCUUAAGAUUCCACGAUAUUCUACAGAGGAGGGUCCAUAGAGGAGUCCAGGAUGGUGCGAUAAGAGCUAAGAAUCCUAGCCGUACAUUGAGUCACGCAUGGGGCCUGUCGUGAGUGUACCCUGCUUGUGCUGCCACUAGGAGUUCUCCCUCUGCAUCCCAUCCCCACUCAGGCACCUUGGUGACCCCAAAGACUCUAGUGGGGAAUGGCACACCAACCUGCAAGCCUGGGUGUUUUCAGUCUGACACUGGAUCUCCAUGUGCUCCCAUGUCACAUUCCUGGGGAGUUCUCGAUGCAUCAUCCUGAAAGAGUAAGUCCCCCUUAUAGGAAUAUUCCUUCCAGAAAGUUCCUAAAGCCCUGGACUCUGGAAAGAAAGGCAACAUUGUCCACAUCAAAAGCAACCAGCCACCAAUAUGUCAACUACACCUAGAACCAAGUCAGACAGUCCACAAACAUGUGCUUGGGGUGCGGGUUGGGAGUGAGAUGGUAGAGGAUACAAAGCUGAAAUACCCAUUUUGUAGAACCCUGUGCUAAGCACUGGGAAAGACAGGAAGGACGGGUAAGACUCAAAGCCUGCCUUCCAGAAAUGUGCACUGUGCUGAAGGGUACAGUGGAUAGAUAGAUAAUUUAUUAAGCUCUGUGUGCCAGGCACAGUGCCAAGUGCUGGAAUACACAGACAAGUACUAUAAAAGGAAAAAGAAAGAGGGAGUGAAUGUGAACAACUGAGGAUAAGAGAAAAGGCUUCCUGGAGGAGGUGGUACCUAAGCUGGGCCUCCAAAGCGGGGAGAUGGAGGGUCAAGUUUAGGACCUGGCCUAGUAGUCCACUUGAUGACAGGCAAUCCAAUCAUAUGAGAGAAGGCUGGAAAAGGAAGGAGGCUGGCCAACUGUGGAGAGACUUGGAUGCCAGGCUAAAGUGAGGUCGGUUGAAUGACCUUUUGGAUAUGAUCAAACAAUUGGAGGAUGGGGGGAAAUGUUUUAUCUGAUUGUACAUGCAAAGUCUUUAUCAGAUCGGAG
rnacentral:lncRNA from 1 species